AUGAGGAUCCUCAGCUGGAACUGCCGAGGACUGGGGCAACCCCGGACAGUUCAAGAACUGGCGUGUUUGGUUAGCACGCACCGCCCGGCUAUCGUUUUCCUUUCGGAAACAAGACAGAAUAAAGUUACGGUGAGUGGCCUUAGAUGGAGGAUAGGGCUGAAGAAUUGCAUGCUUCAUGAUGGUAGAGGUAAAGGGGCGGGAAUUGCCUUGUACUGGGAUGAAACAGUUGAAAUAAAAAAGUUGUCUGUUGGCCCUCGCUAUAUUGAUGUGCUUGUUCGAAACAACCCAACUGAGCAGUGGUGGAGAGGUACGUUUGUUUAUGGUGAGCCAAAAGCACACGAGAGGAUUCAUAUGUGGAACCUUCUCAAACUAAUUAAACAUAACUCCAAUGCACCGUGGCUUGUAAUCGGAGACUUCAAUGAAACUUUGUGGCAAAGUGAGCAUUUUUCGGCAUCUAAAAGGUCAGAAAGGAAAAUGGCUGAUUUCAGAGAAGUUCUUGAUUGGUGCGACCUAUAUGACCUAGGCUUUCAUGGCCCAGUGUGGACAUAUGCCAACAAACAGUCGGGCCGAAACAACGUUAAAGCUAGACUGGAUCGGGGGGUGGCAUCGGCACCAUGGAUCAAUAUGUUCAGGAAUGCUCAAAUAGAACACAUGUGUUCCACUAGGUCUGACCACCUUCCGCUGCUCCUAUCUUUUGGAAAGAAGCUUCAGUACAGAAGGAAAAAGGAUUUCAGGUAUGAAGCUCUUUGGGAGAGGGAAGAAUCGCUGCAAGCCACAAUUGAGGAAGAAUGGAAAGGAGCGGGUCCAGCUCUGAACCUUCAAGACGUCAAAAACAAACUGCAUAUCCUGCAGGACAUAUUGUCAAAGUGGAGCUCUUUGAAGAUCGGGUCUGUUACAUGCAAAACAAACAAGCUCCGUCAGCGCCUACAAGUCCUAAUGAACAGACCUCCCAACCAAGGAAAUGACAGAGAGAUUGGGAUGGUUACUAAAGAACUGGAUGAACUUCUGUUGAGAGAGGAAAUAUUGUGGCGGCAAAGUUCAAGAGCCACGUACUUGCGCGAGGGGGACCGGAACACUGAGUGGUUUCACCGCCAAGCCACUUGGAGAAAGAAACGGAAUACAAUAGUGAAACUGAUGACAUAG
rnacentral:rRNA from 1 species